rnacentral:rRNA from 1 species
CCUACGGGGUGCACCAGUGGGGAAUAUUGCACAAUGGGCGCAAGCCUGAUGCAGCCAUGCCGCGUGUAUGAAGAAGGCCUUCGGGUUGUAAAGUACUUUCAGCGGGGAGGAAGGCGGUAAGGUUAAUAACCUUGUCGAUUGACGUUAACCGCAGAAGAAGCACCGGCUAACUCCGUGCCAGCAGCCGCGGUAAUACGGAGGGUGCAAGCGUUAAUCGGAAUUACUGGGCGUAAAGCGCACGCAGGCGGUCAGUCAAGUCGGAUGUGAAAUCCCCGGGCUCAACCUGGGAACUGCAUUCGAAACUGGCAGGCUAGAGUCUUGUAGAGGGGGGUAGAAUUCCAUGUGUAGCGGUGAAAUGCGUAGAGAUGUGGAGGAAUACCGGUGGCGAAGGCGGCCCCCUGGACAAAGACUGACGCUCAGGUGCGAAAGCGUGGGGAGCAAACAGGAUUAGAUACCCGCGUAGUC